UACGAAGGUGGCGAGCGUUACUCGGAAUUACUAGGCGUAAAGGGCAGGUAGGUGGUUUGAUAAGUCUGUUGUGAAAACUCUCGGCUUAACCGGGAGAGGUCAACGGAAACUGUUAGACUUGAGUGUGGGAGAGGGUACUGGAAUUCCCGGUGUAGCGGUGAAAUGCGCAGAGUUCGGGAGGAACACCUAUGGCGAAAGCAGGUACCUGGACCACUACUGACACUCAGCUGCGAAAGCUAGGGGAG
rnacentral:rRNA from 1 species